rfam:Salmo salar isolate Sally breed double haploid chromosome ssa20, whole genome shotgun sequence.
GUCUGACACUACUGUAAGUCGCUCUGGAUAAGAGCGUCUGCUAACUGACUAAAA